UACAGAGGUCUCAAGCGUUGUUCGGAUUCAUUGGGCGUAAAGGGUGCGUAGAUGGCGAGGCAAGUCGGAUGUGAAAUCCCGGGGCUUAACCCCGGAACUGCAUUCGAUACUGCCUUGCUCGAGUACUGGAGAGGAGACUGGAAUUUACGGUGUAGCAGUGAAAUGCGUAGAUAUCGUAAGGAAGACCAGUGGCGAAGGCGAGUCUCUGGACAGUUACUGACACUGAGGCACGAAGGCCAGGGGAGCAAACGGG
rnacentral:rRNA from 1 species